AGAAGAUAGUGGACUAGAACUUCUAAGUAGACAGUGUGACUGAUUUACUGAAAAGUAAGAUACCAUCGCUAACACAUAGAAUAAGGGAUAAGCAACUUCUUUUGUUUCCUUCUUACUUGAUGCCUUUCUUUGUGUCUGGAGCUUUGGCAGGUAUGAGAGGUGAAACUGUAGAAAGCCUUUCAUCCAAAGUUCAAUAUGUAGGUUUCCUUUGUCAAUAACAGGUUCCUUAACUCUCUGACCACCUGUGUCAUGAUAUAUGAAAUCACUUUCUACGAAAUGUUGUAGUUUUCUUAUAUUUCUUCAAAUCAUUGUGUGUAAUAGUUGACUUUCCCUUCUCCAGGAUCCUGGCUUUGUGUGAGCUCCAUUUUCUUAUUCUCUUCUAGCACCUGUGUGCUAAUUAGAGGCGGAAUAAAUGACAUUGAGAACUUCCACUAAGGUACUAUAAGCUUUCAUGGUGACAUGGCAUCUGGUUUCUUUCUACAAGGAAGGUUCAGCACACAGCACAGUCUUUGAUACAUUGGACUGGUUUGAGGAUCCUACCUGGAAUAGAUCUGAUACUUUUGGUACAUUUGGUGUUUCUUGCAGCUGUGCCAGUCAUCCCUAAUUCCUUCAACUGAAACCAGCAGCACAAGCUUUCUCUUUUAGCCUAUCUUCAUCAGUGACAAGCAUCUUUUUCAGUUGUAUGAACAUGAAGUGCCUUUUGUUGUUCAGUCACUAAGCUGUGUCUGACCCUUUGCAGCGCCAUGAACUGCAGCACACCCAGCUUCCCUGUCCUCCACUGCCU
ensembl:lncRNA